rnacentral:rRNA from 1 species
UACCAGCACCCCGAGUGGUCGGGACGAUUAUUGGGCCUAAAGCAUCCGUAGCCGGCCUUACAAGUCCGCCGUUAAAUCCAACUGCUUAACAGAUGGGCUGCGGAGGAUACUAUAAGACUAGGAGGCAGGAGAGGCAAGCGGUACUCAGUGGGUAGGGGUAAAAUCCGUUGAUCCAUUGAAGACCACCAGUGGCGAAGGCGGCUUGCCAGAAUGCGCUCGACGGUGAGGGAUGAAAGCUGGGGGAGCAAACCGG